rnacentral:rRNA from 1 species
GGACCCGCACAAGCGGUGGAGCAUGUGGUUUAAUUCGAUGCAACGCGAAAAACCUUACCUACUCUUGACAUACUUGGAAGCUCUUGUAAUGAGAGUGUGCCUUUUGGAGCCAAGAUACAGGUGCUGCAUGGCUGUCGUCAGCUCGUGUCGUGAGAUGUUCCGUUAAGUCGGAUAACGAGCGCAACCCUUACCCUUAUUUGCCAGCGAUUCGGUCGGGAACUAUAAGGGGACUGCCGGUGAUAAACCGGAGGAAGGUGAGGACGACGUCAAGUCAUCAUGGCCCUUACGAGUAGGGCUACACACGUGCUACAAUGGGGAAUACAGACGGACGCUAAGCCGCGAGGUGGUGCU